rnacentral:rRNA from 1 species
GUAGCCGACCUGAGAGGGUGAUCGGCCACAUUGGGACUGAGACACGGCCCAAACUCCUACGGGAGGCAGCAGUAGGGAAUCUUCGGCAAUGGACGAAAGUCUGACCGAGCAACGCCGCGUGAGUGAAGAAGGUUUUCGGAUCGUAAAACUCUGUUGUUAGAGAAGAACAAGGAUGAGAGUAAAACGUUCAUCCCUUGACGGUAUCUAACCAGAAAGCCACGGCUAACUACGUGCCAGCAGCCGCGGUAAUACGUAGGUGGCAAGCGUUGUCCGGAUUUAUUGGGCGUAAAGCGAGCGCAGGCGGUUUCUUAAGUCUGAUGUGAAAGCCCCCGGCUCAACCGGGGAGGGUCAUUGGAAACUGGGAAACUUGAGUGCAGAAGAGGAGAGUGGAAUUCCAUGUGUAGCGGUGAAAUGCGUAGAUAUAUGGAGGAACACCAGUGGCGAAGGCGGCUCUCUGGUCUGUAACUGACGCUGAGGCUCGAAAGCGUGGGGAGCAAACAGGAUUAGAUACCCUGGUAGUCCACGCCGUAAACGAUGAGUGCUAAGUGUUGGAGGGUUUCCGCCCUUCAGUGCUGCAGCUAACGCAUUAAGCACUCCGCCUGGGGAGUACGACCGCAAGGUUGAAACUCAAAGGAAUUGACGGGGGCCCGCACAAGCGGAGGAACAUGUGGUUUAAUUCGAUGAUACGCGAGGA